GUAGCUGGGACUGUAGGUCUCCCUCUGUUGUCCAAGGCUGGAGUGUAGUAGCGCUAUCGCAGCUGACUGCAGCCUCAACCUUCCAGGCUGAAGCGAUCCUCCCACCUCAACCUCCCACGUGGCUGAGACUACAGGUGCUUGCCACUAUGCCCAACUAAUAUUUGGAAUUUUCGUAUACGUGGAUUCCAGAGGGGUGACAGCGUAACGUGGGACCAUCCAGUUUCAGGAAAACAAGCUUAACACGCCCACUGAUUCGACAUUAUGCUCCUACCUCCCGGCAGCCUCUCCAGGCCCAGAACUUUCUCCAGUCAACCUCUACAGACCAAGCUCAUGACUCACAAUGGCCUAUUUAGGCCCAUACCCUACGUCACGGCAGUCUCCGCAGAUGAGGCUGCUGCCUCACAACAGCCUCCACAGGCACAGCUCCAUCGGAUAUGGGAUAUAUCCAAUAUCCACAGCCCACAGCUUCCUCAAGCCAAGCUCCCCAGGCCCAGGUCAGGCCUCACGGUGGCCUCUCCAGGAUGAGCUCCUGCCCUCCGAUGGCACCUGCAGGCCCCAAAUGGUCUCCGGUCGGUGGGCUCCUCCACGCCAAGCUUGGGCCUCCCGGCGACCUCUGCAGGCCCAAGUUGUCCUGAAGUUGGCAUCUCCCGGCCGUGCCUCCCAGCAAGUAAGCAAGCUCUUUUGGCUCAACUCCUGCCCAGCUCCCAACCGCCUUUGUGGGCCCCGAACUUUCUCCAGCCAAGUUCUUCGGGCCUAAUUCCUGCCGCCCGGUGGCCUGUACGGGCCCAGCAAUGGUUGGAGAACAGCCUAUGCAGGUCCCGCUCUUGCCU
rnacentral:lncRNA from 1 species